CGGGACGUGGCGUAAAGGCAGCGUUCAUGCUUUGGGAGCAUGUGGUAAGAGUUCGAGUCUCUUCGUCCCGACCA
rnacentral:tRNA from 1 species